AAAAAGGGGACAAACUAUCAAAGAAGAAUUUGAUCCAUUGUUCUUUUUUAGAAGGUGUAAUGAAAUAUACCUUUUUCUUUCAAAAUUUUUUUCUUUACCCACCUAUAUCUAUUUUACCCUCAAUAAAAAUUAAAAAUAAACUUGAAUAUCCUUCUUUACCUUUGAGAAACCCACUCUACGAUCCCAAAUCCUUGCAAGGUUUCUUUUCUUCCUUCUUCCCACAGACAAUCCCAUGGAAAAAAAAAAAAAUCUUCACUUUUGCUUUCUCCUUCUACUUUCUUCCUUCUGUGUGAAAAUGCAUCCCUUAAAGGUAUUAUUCGGAAAUGAAAAGGCAAAAAAUAGGGCCCGAUUUGGCUAGAAGAGAUGGCCAGAGAUGAGAGAUGUGACUAGAUCCGAGAAUGGAUUCAAAACCCGAUCUGCUGUGAACGGGUCAACCUGUCGACCCAACUGAGCUUGAAGAUGAAUCGAACGACAUAUUGUUUGGGCCUGGAUGACAUGUCGUUUUGAUGAUGUCACUCUCUUUUUAUUUUUUUUUUUUAAAUAUAUAUUUUUUCCAAUUCAAAAAAUUAUAUAUAUGUUUUUUUUUUUUUUUAAAUAUUGCUUUUCAAAGCUAAAUAGUCAUAUAUUAAUUUUUUUGGUCAAUUAUGAUCUCUCUUAAUGAAUAUGGUAGACCAUUAUACAUUGUUUUGAUAUGUUUUCAUUUGUUUUAUAAGAUUCAUUAUGUGAUCGUAAAUAAAUAAAUGUGUUGGAUCAUUUUUUAUGUUA